rnacentral:rRNA from 1 species
AACGAACGCUGGCGGCGUGCUUAACACAUGCAAGUCGGAUGCGAACCGCUCUUUCGGGAGGGAAGUAGCAUGGCAGACGGGUGAGGAGCGCGUACCUGACCGGACACAGGCAGGGGGAUAGUCCCUCGAAAGGGGGUUGAAUACCGCAUGUGCUCAUCGUUGUCAUGGCGGUGAGGAAAGGUGGCCUCUGCGAGCAAGCUGUCGGCCUGUGACGGGGGUGCGUCCUAUUAGCUAGCUGGUGGGGUAAUGGCCUACCAGGGCGACGAUGGGUAGCUGGUCUGAGAGGAUGAUCAGCCACACUGGGACUGCGACACGGCCCAGACUCCUACGGGAGGCUG